rnacentral:rRNA from 1 species
GUGCCAGCAGCCGCGGUAAUACAGAGGGUGCAAGCGUUGUUCGGAAUUAUUGGGCGUAAAGGGAGUGUAGGCGGCUUAUUAAGUCUCAUGUGAAAUCUUCGGGCUUAGCCUGGAACGUGCAUGGGAAACUGAUAGGCUGGAGUGUCAAAGAGGAGAGUGGAAUUCCCGGUGUAGAAGUGAAAUUCGUAGAGAUCGGGAGGAACACCAGUGGCGAAGGCGACUCUCUGGUUGACAACUGACGCUGAGACUCGAAAGCAUGGGGAGCAAACAGGAUUAGAUACCCUGGUAGUCCACGCCAUAAACGAUGAGAACUAGACGUUGAGAGGGUAAGCCUCCCAGUGUCGUAGCUAACGCGCUAAGUUCUCCGCCUGGGGAGUACGGCCGCAAGGUUGAAACUCAAAGGAAUUGACGG